GCCUGCUUCGGCAGCGCACAUACUAAAAUUGGAACGAUACAGAGAUGAUUAACAUGGCCCCUGCACAAGGAGGACACACAAAUUCAUGACGGGUUCCAUGUUUUU
ensembl:snRNA U6 U6 spliceosomal RNA